CCAUACCCCCAUACCACUCUGAACACACCAAAUCUCAUCUGAUCUCAGACACUAAGCAGGGUUGGGUCUGGUUUGUAUUGGAUGGGAGGAAGCC
rnacentral:rRNA from 1 species